UUCUGGCCAAAAAGCUAUCUGGGUCACAACUUCCUCACCGGACAGAUACCAUCAUCUUUGGGUGCUCUGCGUUCUCUGCACACGUUGUCUCUGUCUUAUAAUGAGUUGUCAGGUCCAAUUCCCAACCAAUUAGGAAACAUCACAGCCCUUCAAAUAUUAAUUUUGGAUCAGAAUCGACUCUCUGGUCGUCUUCCACCCUCAUUUAGUAAUUUGAGCAAUCUCCAAUACUU